GUGGGCGCGAGGGAGGAAGACGACGCCGGUCGCCGCUCCAAGACCACGCCGCCGCCGAAGCUCCCUCCACGCUCCAAGACCACGCCGUCGACGCUUCCCCCUCUCAGGAAACAAGUUGCUUGGACUGAUUUGGCAGGAAACAAGUUGCUUGGACUGAUUUGGCAGGAAACAAGUUGCUUGGACUGAUUUUCUUGUAAUAUUGAAGGGAACAAGCAUGUUUUUAAGAGGACUCUCCCGGGCUGAGUUGGUGCCUCAUUCAACAUCUUGUAGUUUCAGUACUUUGCUCAGAACCAUGUGCCUAUCCACUUCGAAUUUCUCUAUUUGUUUCAUGUCUCUCAAAAAUGGACUAUGAUAUCUGAGGCUAUGAGCUAACUGUACCAUGGUUGUAGCUGUGAUGAAGAGAUGCUAUUGUUGCUGUAAUGCAUAUUUAUGUACUGAUUGCAAGAUAUGAUCUUGUA